UCUCUUUCUUUCUUCUUGUUCAAAACAAAAACAAAAAUCAGAACUUUGACAAAGAAGCUCUAGAUCGAUCUUGGUUGCAUGUUUUACAAUGAAGUGCUAAAUCGAUUAACCACCUCAUGAAGAGUGUUCUGUUUGAAGAUCCGGAUCCGCUAAUGCUUUGGAUGCAAUAAAGACCCGAAUUCGAAUCAUUCGAUGAAGACCCAUAUUCAAUGAAGAGAAAGAUUUUGGUUCGGGUUUCACGGCACGGGUUAGCUCGAUCAAACAGACAACUCGGUCAACUGUCGGGUGCACUCGGUCAAAGCUGGUCAGCCGUUUCAGUCACGGUUCAGUCUUGCUUCGGGUUCGGGUCAGCGGGUUAACUUGUAUUUAUAAUUUGUUGCUUCGGGUUCAGGUUAGCGGGUUAACUUGUAUUUAUUAAUUGUAAACGUAGAAUCAUAUGAUUAUGUUGUUUCGUUUAUUGUGUAUUGAAUUUUGAAAAUUAUAACGACAACUUGUAUUGUCGGGAUCGUCCAAAA
rnacentral:lncRNA from 1 species